ACGGAAGGCAGCAGUGGGGAAUAUUGCGCAAUGGGCGGAAGCCUGACGCAGCGACGCCGCGUGGGGGAUGACGGCCUUCGGGUUGUAAACCUCUUUCGACCCUGACGAAGCGUGAGUGACGGUAGGGGUAGAAGAAGCGCCGGCCAACUACGUGCCAGCAGCCGCGGUAAGACGUAGGGCGCAAGCGUUGUCCGGAUUUAUUGGGCGUAAAGAGCUCGUAGGCGGCCUGUCGCGUCGUCCGUGAAAACCUGGGGCUUAACUCUGGGCGUGCGGUCGAUACGGGCAGGCUGGAGGCAGGUAGGGGAGAUCGGAAUUCCUGGUGUAGCGGUGAAAUGCGCAGAUAUCAGGAGGAACACCGGUGGCGAAGGCGGAUCUCUGGGCCUGUACUGACGCUGAGGAGCGAAAGCGUGGGGAGCGAACAGGAUUAGAUACCCUGGUA
rnacentral:rRNA from 1 species